GACGUAGGGCGCGAGCGUUGUCCGGAUUUAUUGGGCGUAAAGAGCUCGUAGGCGGCUUGUCGCGUCGACUGUGAAAACCCGCGGCUCAACCGCGGGCCUGCAGCCGAUACGGGCAGGCUAGAGUUCGGUAGGGGAGACUGGAAUUCCCGGUGUAGCGGUGAAAUGCGUAGAUAUCUGGAGGAACACCGGUGGCGAAGGCGGCAUCCUGGACCGGCAUUGACGCUGAGGCGCGAAAGCCAGGGGAGCAAACGGG
rnacentral:rRNA from 1 species